CCUACGGGUGGCAGCAGUGAGGAAUAUUGGUCAAUGGCCGCGAGCCUGAACCAGCCAAGUAGCGUGAAGGAUGACUGCCCUACGGGUUGUAAACUUCUUUUAUAAAGGAAUAAAGUGAGGCACGUGUGCCUUUUUGUAUGUACUUUAUGAAUAAGCAUCGGCUAACUCCGUGCCAGCAGCCGCGGUAAUACGGAGGAUCCGAGCGUUAUCCGGAUUUAUUGGGUUUAAAGGGAGCGUAGGUUGGUUGUUAAGUGAGUUGUGAAAGUUUGGGGCUUAACCGUAAAAUUGCAAUUGAUACUGGCAGUCUUGAGUACAGUCGAGGUAGGCGGAAUACGUGGUGUAGCGGUGAAAUGCUUAGAUAUCACGAAGAACUCCGAUAGCGAAGGCAGCUUACUAAACUGCCACUGACAUUGAUGCUCGAGAGCGUGGGUAGCAAACAGGAUUAGAUACCCGAGUAGUC
rnacentral:rRNA from 1 species